AGCAGAGCUGGGUUUGCACAAUUUCAGUCCUUUCUUUCUGCCCAGAGGGCAAAUGAGGAAAAAAAAAAACAGAAAACAAAAGUAUGGAGAACCAGGCGAUUCUCAGCCAAACUGAAUGAGAAAAUUGAAGCAAUUACUGGAAAAUAGAUGUGAAAACCUGUUAUCACUCAAAUUGAAAGCUCCAUCCUCAGUGUUGGCUAAUAUAACAUGUGCUAUGUGAACAUGUACACAUCAUUUUACUUUUCUGCGUCCCAAAAAGCAUGCCAAUGUGAGAAGAUCUGCCCCAACCCUUGUGAUCUCUCCACCAAAAGAAGAAGAGAAUGAAGAAAAGAAAGAAGAAGAAGAGCGCACACUCACACACACACAUACACAUCCAAAUUGUGUUGCCUAUAUACCCAAUGGAGCAUGGUUAAACUUCCAGUAACCAGUUCCUUUAAGAAAACUGAGUCCUUCCCCAACACAGACUCCUGCUAGAGUUGUGGAGAGCUACAUUUCAGCAUCCUCCUCACAAUUUUAGCAUUCUCUUCCAUAGUUUCCUGUCAAGGC